GAUAAAACUGCACUGGUGGCCACGGGUGCCCUGGUUAGCAGAGUCAACAGGAUUUUCUCUGGCUCUCGCCUUGCGGGCAUCAUCAGCACCCUGGAGUCAUUUACAGGCCUCUGUGCAGACGUCCUGCCGAGCGGCUUCAGGCUGUAAAAGUGAACCAGCGGACACAGGACCUGCCUGGACUCCCAGCCUCACAGAGCAGAACCACAACCCGGACUGCCCUGUGCCCGAUACACACUUGUUUUGGAACUUUAAUCCAUCCAAGCAUCCAAAUAAAAAAUAUGUAGACUCCCCAUCCUAUCCCAUCUGCCAUUGGGUCCUAAUUCCCAAAUAGACGUCUCAUCACAGUGGUUUUCUCUGUGACAGGGACUCCUGCACUGGACUCCAUCCCUCCCCUGCUGGAAAAGCACAGGUGCUGUGGCGUGAGAUCAAGCAACUUACUUCAAUUUGCUGAUCUCGGGGUAAUAAUUCUAAAAUAGGGCAACUAUACCGCUGUCAGUGUACUUGGGAGAACCUCCCCAUUUCUUGAGGCCCCAGAAAUGGGAACACUCAUUUUUGUUGUUAACCCUGGUGUCACAGCUGUCCAUGCCAUGGGCA
rnacentral:lncRNA from 1 species